AACGCGAAGAACCUUACCUGGGCUCGAAAUGUUAUGGACCGGAGUAGAAAUAUUCCUUCCCCGCAAGGGGCCGUAAUAUAGGUGCUGCAUGGCUGUCGUCAGCUCGUGUCGUGAGAUGUUGGGUUAAGUCCCGCAACGAGCGCAACCCUUAUCUUCAGUUGCUACCAUUUAGUUGAGCACUCUGACGAAACCGCCUCGGAUAACGGGGAGGAAGGUGGGGAUGACGUCAAGUCCUCAUGGCCUUUAUGUCCAGGGCUACACACGUGCUACAAUGGCCGGUACAAACCGUUGCAAACCCGCGAGGGGGAGCUAAUCGGAAAAAGCCGGCCUCAGUUCGGAUUGCAGUCUGCAACUCGACUGCAUGAAGCUGGAAUCGCUAGUAAUCGCGGAUCAGAACGCCGCGGUGAAUACGUUCCCGGGCCUUGUACACACCGGCUAC
rnacentral:rRNA from 1 species